rnacentral:lncRNA from 1 species
AAAGAUGGCGGUUGUAUCUGCUGUUCGCUGGCUGGGCCUCCGCAGCAGGCUUGGCCAGCCGCUGACGGGUCGGCGGGCGGGUUUGUGUGAACAGGCACGCAGCUGCAGAUUUUAUUCUGGUAGUGCAACCCUCUCAAAGGUUGAAGGAACUGAUGUAACAGGGAUUGAAGAAGUAGUAAUUCCAAAAAAGAAAACUUGGUAAGUAUUCUAUCAGUGUUCAUUCAGCAAAUGGUUGAGUGCUUACUAUGAGAGAAGUGUAAGGGUUAGGUAAGGAGACAGUGACAGGAAGAGCAAUAGGAGAGCAUUCUUGAAGAGAGUAGCUGAGCGGGGAGAAGCUAGGAGUUUAAAGGACAAAAAAUGGAAAGGUGGAGAAUAGUGAGUGAAUGAGCAAUGAGAUUUACUUAAAAGAACAAUUGAAAGAGAUUUUGAAUUAGUGUGGGUUACUAUUUACGUGGUUAAUAAUACAUGGUUAUACAUGAACAUCAUCAUUAGAAUAAUUUUUUUCAAGGAAGUUCUCUCAUAUGAUUCAAGAGCAGACAGUUACUGUCUUUAUUAUCUCUAAUGAGGUAAAAAUAAAGUAAAUGGUG